rnacentral:rRNA from 1 species
CCGGCGAGUGGCGAACGGGUGAGUAAUGCAUCGGAACGUACCCAGUAGUGGGGGAUAACUUACCGAAAGGUAAGCUAAUACCGCAUACGCACUGAGGUGGAAAGCAGGGGACCGCAAGGCCUUGCGCUAUUGGAGCGGCCGAUGUCGGAUUAGCUAGUUGGUGGGGUAAAGGCCUACCAAGGCGACGAUCCGUAGCGGGUCUGAGAGGAUGAUCCGCCACACUGGAACUGAGACACGGUCCAGACUCCUACGGGAGGCAGCAGUGGGGAAUUUUGGACAAUGGGCGCAAGCCUGAUCCAGCCAUGCCGCGUGAGUGAAGAAGGCCUUCGGGUUGUAAAGCUCUUUCGGCCGGGAAGAAAUCGUGGUGGCGAAUACCUGCCAUGGAUGACGGUACCGGACUAAGAAGCACCGGCUAACUACGUGCCAGCAGCCGCGGUAAUACGUAGGGUGCGAGCGUUAAUCGGAAUUACUGGGCGUAAAGCGUGCGCAGGCGGUUGUGUAAGACAGGCGUGAAAUCCCCGGGCUCAACCUGGGAACUGCGCUUGUGACUGCACGGCUAGAGUACGGCAGAGGGGGGUGGAAUUCCACGUGUAGCAGUGAAAUGCGUAGAGAUGUGGAGGAACACCGAUGGCGAAGGCAGCCCCCUGGGUCGAUACUGACGCUCAUGCACGAAAGCGUGGGGAGCAAACAGGAUUAGAUACCCUGGUAGUCCACGCCCUAAACGAUGUCGACUAGUUGUUGGAGGGGUAAAACCCUUUAGUAACGUAGCUAACGCGUGAAGUCGACCGCCUGGGGAGUAC